rnacentral:rRNA from 1 species
GAUGAACGCUGGCGGCGUGCCUAAUACAUGCAAGUCGAGCGAACAGAUGAGGAGCUUGCUCCUCUGACGUUAGCGGCGGACGGGUGAGUAACACGUGGAUAACCUACCUAUAAGACUGGGAUAACUUCGGGAAACCGGAGCUAAUACCGGAUAAUAUAUUGAACCGCAUGGUUCAAUAGUGAAAGACGGUUUUGCUGUCACUUAUAGCUGGAUCCGCGCCGCAUUAGCUAGUUGGUAAGGUAACGGCUUACCAAGGCAACGAUGCGUAGCCGACCUGAGAGGGGGAUCGGCCACACGGGAACGGAGACGCGGUCCAGACUCCUACGGGAGGCAGCAGUAGGGAAUCUUCCGCAAAGGGCGAAAGCCUGACGGAGCAACGCCGCGUGAGUGAUGAAGGUCUUCGGAUCGUAAAACUCUGUUAUUAGGGAAGAACAAAUGUGUAAGUAACUAUGCACGGCUUGACGGUACCUAAUCAGAAAGCCACGGCUAACUACGUG